rnacentral:rRNA from 1 species
UACGGAGGGUGCAAGCGUUAUCCGGAUUCACUGGGUUUAAAGGGUGCGUAGGCGGCUUUGUAAGUCAGUGGUGAAAUAUGGCAGCUCAACUGUCAGGGUGCCAUUGAUACUGCAGAGCUUGAGUACAGAUGAGGUAGGCGGAAUUGACGGUGUAGCGGUGAAAUGCUUAGAUAUCGUCAAGAACACCGAUAGCGAAGGCAGCUUACUGGGCUGUAACUGACGCUGAGGCACGAAAGUGUGGGGAUCAAACAGG